rnacentral:misc_RNA from 1 species
GAUGAAGAACGUAGCGAAAUGCGAUACUUGGUGUGAAUUGCAGAAUCCCGUGAACCAUCGAGUCUUUGAACGCAAGUUGCGCCCGAAGCCAUUAGGCCGAGGGCACGCCUGCCUGGGCGUCACACGUCGUUGCCCCCCCAUCUACUCCUUCGGGAUUGCGGGGGGCGGAUGAUGGCCUCCCGUGCGCCUCGCCGCGCGGUUGGCAUAAAUGCCAAGUCCUCGGCGACGCACGCCACGACAAUCGGUGGUUGCGAAACCUCGGUUGCCCGUCGUGUGCGGUCGUCGCGCAUCGAGGGCUCGAAAAAAUUGCCGGGUUCCGGCUCGGCUUUCAACGCGACCCCAGGUCAGGCAGGGUUACCCGCUGAAUUUAAGCAUAUCAAUAGCGGAGGA